rnacentral:tRNA from 2 species
AUAGGUAUUGAUUUUACAGGAUAAAUUUACGCAUUCGUAAUGCGAAGGUCGUAGGUUCGACUCCUAUUAUCGGCACCA